AUUAUACUCCCUCCGUCCGGAAAUACUUGUCCUAAAAAUGCACGUAUCUAGACUUAUUUUAGUUAUAGAUGCAUCCAUUUUAUUCAUUUCUUGGACAAAUAUUUCCGGACGGAGGGAGUAGCUG
rnacentral:pre_miRNA from 1 species